GAUGAACGCUGGCGGCGUGCCUAAUACAUGCAAGUCGAACGAAACUUCUUUAUCACCGAGUGCUUGCACUCACCGAUAAAGAGUUGAGUGGCGAACGGGUGAGUAACACGUGGGCAACCUGCCCAAAAGAGGGGGAUAACACUUGGAAACAGGUGCUAAUACCGCAUAACCAUAGUUACCGCAUGGUAACUAUGUAAAAGGUGGCUAUACUACCGCUUCUGGAUGGGCCCGCGGCGCAUUAGCUAGUUGGUAGGGUAAAGGCUUACCAAGGCAAUGAUGCGUAGCCGAAUUGAGAGGUUGAUCGGCCACAUUGGGACUGAGACACGGCCCAAACUCCUACGGGAGGCAGCAGUAGGGAAUCUUCCACAAUGGGCGAAAGCCUGAUGGAGCAACGCCGCGUGGGUGAAGAAGGUCUUCGGAUCGUAAAACCCUGUUGUUAGAGAAGAAAGUGCGUGAGAGUAACUGUUCACGUUUCGACGGUAUCUAACCAGAAAGCCACAGCUAACUACGUG
rnacentral:rRNA from 1 species